rnacentral:rRNA from 1 species
ACGAACAGUUGGAAACGACUGCUAAUACCGCAUACGAUCUAAUCUCGGCAUCGAGGAUAGAUGAAAGGUGGCCUCUACAUGUAAGCUAUCACUGAAGGAGGGGAUUGCGUCUGAUUAGCUAGUUGGAGGGGUAACGGCCCACCAAGGCGAUGAUCAGUAGCCGGUCUGAGAGGAUGAACGGCCACAUUGGGACUGAGACACGGCCCAG